rnacentral:rRNA from 1 species
CCCGCACAAGCGGUGGAGCAUGUGGUUAAUUCGACGCAACGCGAAGAACCUUACCUAGGCUUGACAUCUGGGGAAUCCCAUGGAACAUGGGAGUGCGGAGCAAUCCGAGCCCCAAGACAGGUGCUGCAUGGCUGUCGUCAGCUCGUGUCGUGGGAUGUUGGGUUAAGUCCCGCAACGAGCGCAACCCUUGUCUCUAGUUGCCAUCAUUUAGUUGGGCUACUCUAGAGAGACUGCCGGUGAUAAACCGGAGGGAGGUGGGGACGACGUCAAGUCCUCAUGGCCUUUAUGCCUAGGGCUACACACGUGCUACAAUGGAUCGUACAAAGGGUCGCGAACCCGCGAGGGGGAGCCAAUCCCAAAAACCGGUCCUCAGUUCGGAUUGGAGUCUGCAACUCGACUCCAUGAAGUUGGAAUCGCUAGUAAUCGUGGAUCAGCAUGCCACGGUGAAUACGUUCCCGGGCCUU